rnacentral:rRNA from 1 species
GACGAACGCUGGCGGCGUGCUUAACACAUGCAAGUCGAACGGAAAGGCCCUGCUUUUGUGGGGUGCUCGAGUGGCGAAAGGGUGAGUAACACGUGAGUAACCUGCCCUUGACUUUGGGAUAACUUCAGGAAACUGGGGCUAAUAACGGAUAGGAGCUCCUGCUGCAUGGUGGGGGUUGGAAAGUUUCGGCGGUUGGGGAUGGACUCGCGGCUUAUCAGCUUGUUGGUGGGGUAGUGGCUUACCAAGGCUUUGACGGGUAGCCGGCCUGAGAGGGUGACCGGCCACAUUGGGACUGAGAUACGGCCCAGACUCCUACGGGAGGCAGCAGUGGAGAAUAUUGCACAAUGGGCGGAAGCCUGAUGCAGCAACGCCGCGUGCGGGAUGACGGCCUUCGGGUUGUAAACCGCUUUCGCCUGUGACGAAGCGUGAGUGACGGUAAUGGGUAAAGAAGCACCGGCUAACUACGUG